CCCCUUGCCCCACGCCAUCAUGGGGACGGCUGUGGUCCGCCGAGAGGCCCGGCCCCGCAAGAGCGGUGUGCGAUCCGCUCUGCCCGAGCUGACAUCGGGGCACGGGGAGAGCACAGAGCAGCGCUAACUCAAGUGAUGGCAAAUACCACCAUGGGAGAGGUGCUCCAGCCCUCUGAUGAUCUUAGUGGCCCUCCUCUGGACCUGCUUCAAUAACUCCACAUCUUUUAUGCGUUGGAAGGGAAGAAGGAAGAGCAUGAAACAAAAGUGCCUCAGUGAGUGGCCUACUGUCAGUGGGACGAGCUGGAUUUUGCUGAGCUAUCUUGGAGCACCUCAGUCCUUUUUCUACCACAUGGCCAGUUUGCAGGACUGUGGCAUCUAUGAUGGAAAUGGCACGUUGAGCCCAGGACUCUGCUCAGCAGAUUUCAUGGAUACUUGUAAGGAGCUAGCUGAGUGCUUGGGCAGAAGCAGUCUUGGCCAAAGAGGCUGCAUGGUACUGAAGAUGGUUAGCAUACAGACUGCUGUUGCCUGCAGCAGGCUUUUUACCAGCAUCGUUACACCUCUGGGUGUAAAGUGAAGGAGGAAUCUGGCCCCCUUGCUAGGCUGAUUUUUUGUAAAUGACAAGAUUGAUUCCUAUGCUUGACACAUAACUCUGAUUUCUCUUAGCAGCAAUGUUCUGGCAAGGCAGAAAACACUAGAGGACUUCUCGCAGCCCAGGCAGUGACUGGUGUACCACUUUUCCAUCUUCUCCAAGUAUAACUGCUCUGUUACUCAGCCAUGAAAAGAGCAUCACUCUAGUAAUUAGUAGCUGGUUUUCUUGGCAGAUCAGACAGAUCAACUUCUUAUUUUCAUGAAUAAAGCAGUACAGAUCUGCAAGUUUCUGCAUCCAGUUAAACACUGUCACACAUGGACACAUAGAAUCAUCACAGAAUCAUAGAAUUGCUCAGGUUGGAAAAGACCUUCAGGAUCAUCAAGUCUAACCACAACCAUACUACCCUAACAGCUCACUGCUAAAUCGUGUCCCUGAGGACCACAUGCAACGUCUCUCUCUAUACUGCAUACUCCCACUUACGCACUGCAAGAUUGGCAGCUCUCAAAGAACUCACAGGGACUAUGCCAUAUAUUUAAUCAGCAAUCUUAAAGCUAAGAAUCCUAUUAAGUAAAAUGUGUGUGAAGAAGUUCACUCUAAUCUCUUGUGAACUGUCUCAGUCACAAAAUAAUGAUGAGCAAGGCAGAAGAAUGCAUUUUACCUUUGGGAGAAAUAAAUGCGUGUUUGCCCUCUAAAGCCUAGCAAAACUCCACACUACCCUCCACAUAAAAUUCAUUUGUAUGGCUAGGGACAACUUGCAGAACACAGUUGUAUUUCUCUGUAGCGUUCUGUUGCUACCAGUGCGUUUCAUCAAUGUAUAUUUUUUUCUACAUAAAGAUGCGUAAAGAAAUUGUAUACAACAUCUUGGGUGGGGAGAGCAGCACUCUCUGGUCCUGCUGUGGACAGGCUGUACUGAUUUACAGGAGCCCUGGCUGCCUUGGGAGGCCCAGUGCUGCUACUGGGUAGGUUCUGGUAGGAAUGACUCUGAAACAGAGGGAAAAUGGACCCUCAUCUCUGAGCCCCAGUUGCGCAGUGCUCUUUGGAAUGAACACACUGCAGCUAUUGUGGAGAUCCAAGACCUGACCUGUGUACACAGUUCCUGAGCUGCCAACCCCACAAAAUCACUGCUCUCCACUGCAGCCAGUGAAGAAGGCAAUGUUAUGAAACCAAGCGAAACAAUAGCAAACAAGAAGAGAAACCACUCUGCCUACCACUGAUCUGUCAUUUUCUUUGCUUCUUGCAGAAGAUGAUACACAGUGGUCUUGCUGCACCCAAAGGCUGUCUCUCUCUGGAGAGCACCAAAAGCUCAUGUUCCCCAGUUACACCUGGAAUUAAGGUGAAGAGAAAAACUGCAGGUUGGUUGGGGCAUGGUAGCUGUUAAAACAAGGUGCGGUGGGUGAGUGGGAUGGCCUGAAGGUUUGUCAGGCUGAAACUUCAGCUUUCAAAUAGAUGGGAUGAAGUCUGAGGCAUCAUCGGGCCUUGGGAAAGCAAAACUUGACUUUUCAGAGUUAAAAUGAAGUUUUAACAGACGAGAGACAUAGAGGAGGAAUUUCCUUGCUUGAGGACGUUUCCAGAGCAGCACCUUGAUUUCCCAGUUCUCUCUUGGAUACAAUGAUGAUCCUAAAGCAAAAUAAAUUGUAUUUGAUGAGAAA